rnacentral:rRNA from 1 species
UACGUAGGGUGCGAGCGUUGUCCGGAAUUAUUGGGCGUAAAGAGCUCGUAGGCGGUCUGUCGCGUCGGAUGUGAAAACCCAGGGCUUAACCCUGGGCCUGCAUUCGAUACGGGCAGACUAGAGUUCGGUAGGGGAGACUGGAAUUCCUGGUGUAGCGGUGAAAUGCGCAGAUAUCAGGAGGAACACCGAUGGCGAAGGCGGGUCUCUGGGCCGAUACUGACGCUGAGGAGCGAAAGCGUGGGGAGCGAACAGG